UACAGAGGUCUCAAGCGUUGUUCGGAUUCAUUGGGCGUAAAGGGCGCGUAGGCGGCCCUCCUUGUCGCGUGUGAAAGCCCCGGGCUCAACCUGGGAAUUGCGCGCGAAACGGGGGGGCUUGAGUUCGGGAGAGGAGCGUGGAAUUCCCAGUGUAGAGGUGAAAUUCGUAGAUAUUGGGAAGAACACCGGUGGCGAAGGCGGCGCUCUGGACCGAGACUGACGCUGAGGCGCGAAAGCGUGGGGAGCAAACAGG
rnacentral:rRNA from 1 species